rnacentral:rRNA from 1 species
CUACGGGCGGCUCCAGUGGGGAAUAUUGGACAAUGGGCGAAAGCCUGAUCCAGCGACGCCGCGUGAGCGAUGAAGUAUUUCGGUAUGUAAAGCUCUAUCAGCAGGGAAGAUAAUGACGGUACCUGACUAAGAAGCACCGGCUAAAUACGUGCCAGCAGCCGCGGUAAUACGUAUGGUGCAAGCGUUAUCCGGAUUUACUGGGUGUAAAGGGAGCGUAGAUGGCAUCACAAGUCAGAAGUGAAAGCCCGGGGCUUAACCCCGGGACUGCUUUUGAAACUGUGGAGCUGGAGUACAGGAGAGGCAAGCGGAAUUCCUAGUGUAGCGGUGAAAUGCGUAGAUAUUAGGAGGAACAACAGUGGCGAAGGCGGCUUGCUGGACUGCAACUGACAUUGAGGCUCGAAAGCGUGGGGAGCAAACAGGAUUAAAUACCCGCGUAGUC